rnacentral:rRNA from 1 species
UGGGGAAUAUUGCACAAUGGGCGAAAGCCUGAUGCAGCAACGCCGCGUGAGUGAUGAAGGUCUUCGGAUUGUAAAGCUCUGUCUUUUGGGACGAUAAUGACGGUACCAAAGGAGGAAGCCACGGCUAACUACGUGCCAGCAGCCGCGGUAAUACGUAGGUGGCGAGCGUUGUCCGGAUUUACUGGGCGUAAAGGGUGCGUAGGCGGAUGUUUAAGUGAGAUGUGAAAUACCCGGGCUUAACUUGGGUGCUGCAUUUCAAACUGGAUAUCUAGAGUGCAGGAGAGGAGAAUGGAAUUCCUAGUGUAGCGGUGAAAUGCGUAGAGAUUAGGAAGAACACCAGUGGCGAAGGCGAUUCUCUGGACUGUAACUGACGCUGAGGCACGAAGGCGUGGGUAGCAAACAGGAUUAGAUACCCUGGUAGUCCACGCCGUAAACGAUGAGUACUAGGUGUAGGAGGUAUCGACCCCUUCUGUGCCGCAGUAAACACAUUAAGUACUCCGCCUGGGAAGUACGAUCGCAAGAUUAAAACUCUAAAGUGAAUUGAC